rnacentral:rRNA from 1 species
GACUGUCUCUAUUUAAUUUAAUUAGAAUUUUAUUUUUAAGUUAAAAAGCUUAAAUAAGUUUAAAAGACGAGAAGACCCUAUAGAGUUUUAUUAAUAAAUAAAAAAUAUAUUUUAGUAUUAAUUUAUUUUGUUUAUUUAUUAAUUUAAUUGGGGUGAUUGAAAAAUUUAAUUAACUUUUUUUAUUUAAUAACAUUAAUUUAUGAAUUAAUGAUCCAAUAUUUUUGAUUAUAAGAUAAAAUUACCUUAGGGAUAACAGCGUAAUUUUUUUAGAAAGUUCA